rnacentral:rRNA from 1 species
UACAGAGGUCUCAAGCGUUGUUCGGAUUCAUUGGGCGUAAAGGGUGCGUAGGCGGCGCGGUAAGUCGGGUGUGAAAUCUCGGAGCUUAACUCCGAAACUGCAUUCGAUACUGCGGUGCUUGAGGACUGGAGAGGAGACUGGAAUUUACGGUGUAGCAGUGAAAUGCGUAGAGAUCGAUAAGGAAGACCAGUGGCGAAGGCGGGUCUCUGGACAGUUCCUGACACUGAGGCACGAAGGCCCAGGGGGAGCAAAACAGG